ACUCCUACGGGAGGCAGCAGUGGGGAAUUUUGGACAAUGGGGGAAACCCUGAUCCAGCUAUGCCGCGUGAGUGAAGAAGGCCUUCGGGUUGUAAAGCUCUUUCAGCCGGAACGAAACGGUCACGGCUAAUACCUGUGAUCACUGACGGUACCGGAAGAAGAAGCACCGGCUAACUACGUGCCAGCAGCCGCGGUAAU
rnacentral:rRNA from 1 species